rnacentral:rRNA from 1 species
UACGUAGGGUGCGAGCGUUGUCCGGAAUUAUUGGGCGUAAAGAGCUCGUAGGCGGCUUGUCGCGUCGGAUGUGAAAGCCCGGGGCUUAACUCCGGGUCUGCAUUCGAUACGGGCAGGCUAGAGUUCGGUAGGGGAGAUCGGAAUUCCUGGUGUAGCGGUGAAAUGCUCAGAUAUCAGGAGGAACACCGGUGGCGAAGGCGGAUCUCUGGGCCGAUACUGACGCUGAGGAGCGAAAGCGUGGGGAGCGAACAGG